GUUGAAACACCGGUUCCUGUACGAUCACCGAAGUUAAGCAACCUUGAGCCUAGUCAGUACCUAUAUGGGUGACUGCUUUGGAAUACCAAGUGCAGCAA
rnacentral:rRNA from 1 species